AGUGAACGCUGGCGGUAGGCCUAACACAUGCAAGUCGAACGGCAGCACAGUAAGAGCUUGCUCUUACGGGUGGCGAGUGGCGGACGGGUGAGGAAUACAUCGGAAUCUACUUUUUCGUGGGGGAUAACGUAGGGAAACUUACGCUAAUACCGCAUACGACCUACGGGUGAAAGCAGGGGAUCUUCGGACCUUGCGCGAUUGAAUGAGCCGAUGUCGGAUUAGCUAGUUGGCGGGGUAAAGGCCCACCAAGGCGACGAUCCGUAGCUGGUCUGAGAGGAUGGACAGGCCAAAUGGAAAUGGAAAAAGGGCCAAACUUCUACGGGAGGCAGCAGUGGGGAAUAUUGGACAAUGGGCGCAAGCCUGAUCCAGCCAUACCGCGUGGGUGAAGAAGGCCUUCGGGUUGUAAAGCCCUUUUGUUGGGAAAGAAAAGCAGCAGGUUAAUACCCCGCUGUUCUGACGGUACCCAAAGAAUAAGCACCGGCUAACUUCGUG
rnacentral:rRNA from 1 species